CGAUGUGGCUGGAGAUUGGCACAUCUGUGGCAUAUCAGUGUAUCAUUCUUCAGAAACUCUGGGCGCCUUUGGACUCUGGGUGUCCCCUCUGCUUAACUAUUCCUGGCCUCAGUGGUCUCAUUUGUAAAAUGGGAAAAAUAAACCCAGUCAUGCCUAUCUCACAAUAGACUUGGAAGAUCAAGAUCAAGUGAGAAGGGGCCGGCGUGCUGGCGCAGUGGUUAAGUUUGCACACUCUGCUUCAGUGGCCCGUGGUUCACCAGUUCAGAUCCCAGGUUCGGACAUGGCACCGCUUGGCAAGCCAUGCUGUGGAUCUGAGAGCACCUUUGUUUCUUGGAUGGGACAAAAAGUUGAGGUCUGUGGUCUUCAGAAGCUGGGGAUCCCAAAGAGAAGGCAGGUCAAGAUGAGGGGACCAGUGUAUGCCUGAAGUCAGACUUCUUGGAAGGGCCCAAGGGCCCAUCACUCACAAAGACCUCCCUUUAAAGAACUAUCUGGUGCAAUUUCAGUACCUUUUUUAGGAUACAAGAAGGAGAUGCAGAAGGAAGGGACUGAAAGCCGGAAAACCUCAGGAGAUAGAGAUACCAGUGCCAGAGCAGGUGCCUCACACUGAGGUUCAGGACCAUGGCCUGCUACUCACAAUGCCCUGACGCCUUUGAACCUGAGAUGUCCAUCCAAGUCUGUUUUAAUCCCCCAUUGCAAACCCUGGAAUUAGAUAUUUUGUCUUUUUUGCCGCCUGCUUUUUCUCCCCUAAUCCCCCCAGUUCAUAGUUGUAUAUUUUAGUUGUGAGUCCUUCUAGUUGUGGCAUUUGGGAUGCUCCAUCAGCGUGGCCUGAUGAGCAAUCCCAUGUCCACGCCCAGGAUCCGAACCAGCGAAACCCUGGACCGUCCAAGCGGAGCACACGAACUUAACUACUCGGCCACGGGGCCCGCCCCCAGAUAUUUUGUCUUGACUGUAGCUGGACCUUCUGCAAACUCUCUACCUUGACUUGCACCCAAGGUGCAUGGCCUUGCCUCUUCCCUGAGUGUGGCUGUUCUUCUGUAGGGCCUAGGGGCUGAUUAGCCACAGAAGCAGUACCCAGAAAUGUCUCACUACUCGUGCAGGAAGUGCAGGGCCCUUUUCAGCUUUCACAAGGACAUCACCUGAAUGAGUGAGUGAGAAGUGGCCUCAUACUUUUCCCAAAGGCCUGAAGUAUUUUUCUGGCUACUAGCUUUGAUUAAGCAUCAGCAGAACCAUGCUCUGGUUGUAGAAAAAAAUCCAGAUACAUCUUAAGAAGUAGCCAAAAGAUUUGGGGUCUCAGUUCUUAGAUCCAGAUGCACUGAGAAUGUUAAGCAUUACCCAGAAAUCUUUCAGAAGUCUAGGGUAGUCAGCCUGGGAGAGUGAGCGGGGCACCAGGGACAUGGGAGUGGGAGAUACCUGAAUAGCCAAGGAAUGGGACCCUGAAGAAGAAGGGGCAAAGACCAUAACCCCAACCUUCAAGGCUUCUUCAAGAAUAAAAAUUAUAUACUUAUGGCAUUUCUCACAGCUUCACAACAGUAGAAGGUGCUAAUGAACAUCUCUCUUGUUGACCAAAUUCCAUCUCCCUCAGAAGAUAACUCCCUUACAUUAACUGCCUACCAGAUGCCCCACAGUAUACACAGUUAAUGCAUUUAAACCUCAGUGACAUGUUUGUCAGGUAGACAUUAUGACCCCAACCUUAGAGAUGAAGAAACCUACACUGGCAAGGUGAACUUGCUUACAUUACACAGUUGCCAAGAGGUGGAGCCAAGGCUCAAGAGAGGUUCCCCUGACUCCAAGGCUGGAGCUCUUUUAUCUGAAUUAUGGGCCUCUCACAGGCCCUGUGUCUCCUAUCUGUAAGGAAAGCGAAUUAUAGACUGAGGGUCCAAUGCGAACCUCUGAAAU
ensembl:lncRNA